GUGUUUUUGUGGAAACUGAAUUGGUUAGGCAGCCAGAGAUAUAGCUAGUUUUGUUAACAAGGUGUAGAUAAGAUUAUAAUGGACUGUAGGAAGAAUGGGUCUUCCUUCUUCUUCUUCUUCUUCAUUCACAGCUGAUCUUUUUGGCACCAAGGAGCCACCACCUUCUACUUCAACUGGGAUUUUUGCUUCCAUCUUUCCACCACCAUCCACGGUUUUAGGGAGGAAAUCCUCAAGCUCUGAGGUGAUAGGAUCUUGGCAAAAGCAGCCCCUUGAAAAUCAAGGGUGGAACACCAAACAAGGAGCUCCAGCUGUGACUAGCGAGGCAGCAAGCUAUAACAUGCCUGACGAGAACAAGAAUUCUAUUUUUAUGGAAGAAAGAGCAGAACCAUGUCAUCUAAGUUCAUCACUUUACUAUGGUGGGCAAGACAACUAUUCUCAGCCNNNNNNNNNNCUGGAUCAUAUCCCAUGUUCAAGAAAGAUGGGGGAGAAGAUGAUCCUAACGGCAACAAUUCAAACGGUGCUUCUAGAGGAAAUUGGUGGCAAGGUUCACUUUAUUAUUAGGACCUUGCCUUCCCUUGUCAUAUGAAU
rnacentral:misc_RNA from 1 species